UACAGAGGUCUCAAGCGUUGUUCGGAUUCCUUGGGCGUAAAGGGUGCGUAGGCGGCGCGGUAAGUCGGGUGUGAAAUCUCGGAGCUUAACUCCGAAACUGCAUUCGAUACUGCCGUGCUUGAGGACUGGAGAGGAGACUGGAAUUUACGGUGUAGCGGUGAAAUGCGUAGAUAUCAGGAAGAACACCCGUGGCGAAGGCGGCUCUCUGGAACGCAACUGACGCUGAGACGCGAAAGCGUGGGGAGCAAACAGG
rnacentral:rRNA from 1 species